rnacentral:lncRNA from 1 species
CGGGAUUGGAUCAUUUCUAUUUCGUCUAACAUUAGUUCUGACAAGACUCGAAGUGUAGGAAUAUCAACUUCGAUGGGUAAAACUACCCCUAUUCCAUAUACCAAUGAGAAAUGAGUUGCUCCGAAGGUUUUUUUGUUUUUGUUUUUUAUUUUCUUAUUUUUUUGUUUGUUUUUGUUUUUUGUUUUUUUCCUCCACUGUACCGUUCAUUUUGGGGCGAUAUGGUGUUAACCUUGAACAGACUGCAAACUUCUGAUGACGAGUUGUUGUUCAAAUUCAAUCUUUUCUGGCAUUUCAUACCGACUUAUGAUUUCUUUUUUCAAGAAUUUGUUGACUGUUAACUUUGUGAUAUUGGCAGAUGAAACAACCUCUACCCACUUGGUGAAGUAAUCGACGAUUACAAAGAUGAAUCAAUAACCACCAGAAGCUUUU